AGAGGAGACUUUCUGUUCUCUGUUUGGUUAUUGUUCCAGUUCUUGCUGCUCUAACAGCAGCAUUUUGUCCUGUCCUGGGCACAACAGCAGCUUGUUCCAGCUGCCAGCUUCUGUUUAAGCUCCCAGAACCAGCCUCACCAUGCCUCCCUAGAGGUCCCAGCCAGCAGCAGCUGGGCAACGUCUCUGCCCUGGGGGGUCCCUUCUCCAAAAUUCCAUCUCUUGAUACAUCCAGUCCCUUCCCAUUGCUCCCCUAGCACUGGGGGUAAUAGCUGCUUCCUGUUCAUUAUUAUCAGUGUCCCUGGUCCCCUUUUUUUCUGUCAGCCCUUCAUCACCUUUGUAACCAAUUGCCUACGUUAAAUUCCUUCUGUUGAAAGAACUGCCUGGAUACUGCUGGACUUUUGACUCUUGUCAAUGGAAGUGGAUGACAGCAGGGUUACCUGUCUGAAGGUCAGUAGGAGGUAUAAUGUGUGUGGAGGAUGACAACAGUGGUUGUAGGAUGCAGGACAUCUUGGUUGCUCCCAGUUUGGGCAAUUAUGAACAAAGCUGCUAUGAACACCCAUGGACAGGUCUGUGUAUGGAUACCAAGGAGCACAAUUGCUGGAUCAUAUGCUAAGAGUACAUUUAGCUUUGCAAGAAACUGCCAAACUGCCUUCCAACAAGACUGUGCCAUUUUGCGUUCCCACCAGCAAUGAACGAGAAUUCCUGUUGCUCCACAUCCUUGCCAGCAUUUGGUGUUAUCAGUAUUCUGGAUUUGGGCCAUUCUACUAGGUGUCUCUCUGUGCUCAGCCCUCCCUCUGGGGAGGCUGAGUUGUCACUUCCCCAUCAGAGGAAGACAAUCUGUCUCUGACCAGUGUCCUGGCUAAGAUGGGGCCCCGGUGGAGGUGUGUGAGCAGAUGACUCAGAGACUCUUCUUCAUAUUAAAAUAUUCCAGUAAUUAUGUCAGGGCCGAUCCGGCUCACGCAUGGCACUUUACAAAAGAUACACAAAUCGUGGCCCAGUAGGCUCUGGGCCAGAACACACGCAAGGCACCGGCGUGCUCCACAGCACCGCGGGCGGAUCAGAGCAUCUCCAGCCUGUCAAAGACCCACUCCUCUGUAUCUCUCCACGGGAGACAAGCCAUUUGCCGGAGCCACAUAAUGGAGCAUUCAGCCUUUGAAUUGCCACUUCUCUGAAGACUCUACAGGGCUAUGAGGGUGACUGCCUCAGGCCGGGAGGAAGGGAGGAAGGUAGGAAGGAGGUUUUGAGCCUUUAUCUGACUAGAAAGAGGCUGCUAUAGGCCCACAAAAUCAAGGUCUCACCCCCUCACCCCUGAGAGGCAGCCAGGCGUCCUGGGCAAGAGUGAUGCUGUCUCCACACCGCAGGGGCAGCAAGCAAGGCUGUAGACAGGGCUGUUCCAAUGUGUGACCCCAAGAAGACACCUGCCAAGGAGAAGGAGGCAGUGCGGGCCCCUGAGAAGGAGCUGCCCAGCCUGCGUGUGUGUGCUGGGGGCCGAGGCUGUUGGUUUCAGUGCAUUAAAUCAUGGACUGCUCUCCACUGCGUUACUAUUCC
rnacentral:lncRNA from 10 species